UACGUAGGGUGCGAGCGUUAAUCGGAAUUACUGGGCGUAAAGCGUGCGCAGGCGGUUUUGUAAGCCAGAUGUGAAAUCCCCGGGCUCAACCUGGGAAUGGCAAUGGAUACUGGCAAGCUAGAGUGCGGUAGAGGGUAGUGGAAUUCCCGGUGUAGCGGUGAAAUGCGUAGAGAUCGGGAGGAACACCAGUGGCGAAGGCGGCUACCUGGACCAGCACUGACACUGAGGCACGAAAGCGUGGGGAGCAAACAGG
rnacentral:rRNA from 1 species